AACGAACGCUGGCGGCAUGCCUAACACAUGCAAGUCGAACGAGAUCUUCGGGUCUAGUGGCGCACGGGUGCGUAACGCGUGGGAAUCUGCCCUUUGGUUCGGAAUAACAGUUGGAAACGACUGCUAAUACCGGAUGAUGACGAAAGUCCAAAGAUUUAUCGCCAGAGGAUGAGCCUGCGUAGGAUUAGCUAGUUGGUGUGGUAAAGGCGCACCAAGGCGACGAUCCUUAGCUGGUCUGAGAGGAUGAUCAGCCACACUGGGACUGAGACACGGCCCAGACUCCUACGGGAGGCAGCAGUGGGGAAUAUUGGACAAUGGGCGAGAGCCUGAUCCAGCAAUGCCGCGUGAGUGAUGAAGGCCUUAGGGUUGUAAAGCUCUUUUACCCGGGAUGAUAAUGACAGUACCGGGAGAAUAAGCUCCGGCUAACUCCGUGCCAGCCGCCGCCGUAAUAC
rnacentral:rRNA from 1 species